rnacentral:rRNA from 1 species
UGGGGAAUAUUGCACAAUGGGCGCAAGCCUGAUGCAGCCAUGCCGCGUGUGUGAAGAAGGCCUUCGGGUUGUAAAGCACUUUCAGCGGGGAGGAAGGCGAUAAGGUUAAUAACCUUGUCGAUUGACGUUACCCGCAGAAGAAGCACCGGCUAACUCCGUGCCAGCAGCCGCGGUAAUACGGAGGGUGCAAGCGUUAAUCGGAAUUACUGGGCGUAAAGCGCACGCAGGCGGUCUGUCAAGUCGGAUGUGAAAUCCCCGGGCUCAACCUGGGAACUGCAUUGGAAACUGGCAGGCUAGAGUCUGGUAGAGGGGGGUAGAAUUCCAGGUGUAGCGGUGAAAUGCGUAGAGAUCUGGAGGAAUACCGGUGGCGAAGGCGGCCCCCUGGACAAAGACUGACGCUCAGGUGCGAAAGCGUGGGGAGCAAACAGG